rnacentral:rRNA from 1 species
CAGUAGCCGCGGUAAUACGUAGGGUGCGAGCGUUAAUCGGAAUUAUUGGGCGUAAAGCGUGCGCAGGCGGUUGUGUAAGACAGAUGUGAAAUCCCCGAGCUUAACUCGGGAACUGCAUUUGAAACUGGCAAGCUAGAGUCUCGUAGAGGGGGGUAGAAUUCCAGGUGUAGCGGUGAAAUGCGUAGAGAUCUGGAGGAAUACCGGUGGCGAAGGCGGCCCCCUGGACGAAGACUGACGCUCAGGUACGAAAGCGUGGGGAGCAAACAGGAUUAGAUACCCCUGUAGUCCCUGUCUCUUAUAC